UACGAAGGGUGCAAACGUUGCUCGGAAUUAUUGGGCGUAAAGCGCACGUAGGCGGCUUUGCAAGUCGGAUGUGAAAUCCCUCGGCUCAACCAAGGAAGUGCAUCCGAAACUGCAGAGCUUGAGUACCAAAGAGGAUCGCGGAAUUCCCGGUGUAGAGGUGAAAUUCGUAGAUAUCGGGAGGAACACCAGUGGCGAAGGCGGCUUUCUGGGCCUUACCUGACGCUGAGACGCGAAAGCGUGGGGAGCGAACCGG
rnacentral:rRNA from 1 species